UACAGAGGGUGCAAGCGUUAAUCGGAAUUACUGGGCGUAAAGCGCGCGUAGGUGGUUUGUUAAGUUGAAUGUGAAAUCCCCGGGCUCAACCCUGGGAACUGCAUCCAAAACUGGCAAGCUAGAGUAUGGUAGAGGGUGGUGGAAUUUCCUGUGUAGCGGUGAAAUGCGUAGAUAUAGGAAGGAACACCAGUGGCGAAGGCGACCAACCUGGACUGAUAACUGACACUGAGGUGCGAAAGCGUGGGGAGCAAACAGGA
rnacentral:rRNA from 1 species